rnacentral:rRNA from 1 species
UACGGAGGGGGCUAGCGUUGUUCGGAAUUACUGGGCGUAAAGCGCACGUAGGCGGCUUUGUAAGUUAGAGGUGAAAGCCCGGGGCUCAACUCCGGAAUUGCCUUUAAGACUGCAUCGCUAGAAUUGUGGAGAGGUAAGUGGAAUUCCGAGUGUAGAGGUGAAAUUCGUAGAUAUUCGGAAGAACACCAGUGGAGAAGGCGACUUACCGGACACAUAUUGACGCUUAGGUGCGAAAGCGUGGGGAGCAAACAGG